GAUGAACGCUGGCGGCAGGCCUAACACACGCAAGUCGAGCGGAUGAAGAGAGCUUGCUCUCUGAUUUAGCGGCGGACGGGUGAGUAAUGCCUAGGAAUCUGCCUGGUAGUGGGGGAUAACGUUCCGAAAGGAACGCUAAUACCGCAUACGUCCUACGGGAGAAAGCAGGGGAUCUUCGGACCUUGCGCUAAUAGAUGAGCCUAAGUCGGAUUAGCUAGUUGGUGGGGUAAAGGCCUACCAAGGCGACGAUCUGUAGCGGGUCUGAGAGGAUGAUCCGCCACACUGGGACUGAGACACGGCCCAGACUCCUACGGGAGGCAGCAGUGGGGAAUAUUGGACAAUGGGCGGAAGCCUGAUCCAGCCAUGCCGCGUGUGUGAAGAAGGCCUUUUGGUUGUAAAGCACUUUAAGCGAGGAGGAGGCUCUUAAGGUUAAUACCCUUGAUGAGUGGACGUUACUCGCAGAAUAAGCACCGGCUAACUCUGUGCCAGCCGCCGCCGUAAGAC
rnacentral:rRNA from 1 species